AACGAACACUGGCGGCAGGCCUAACACAUGCAAGUCGAGCGAGGACUUCGGUCCUAGCGGCGGACGGGUGAGUAACGCGUGGGAACGUGCCCUUUGCUUCGGAAUAGCCCUGGGAAACUGGGAGUAAUACCGGAUGAGCCCUUAGGGGGAAAGAUUUAUCGGCGAAGGAUCGGCCCGCGUUGGAUUAGGUAGUUGGUGGGGUAAUGGCCUACCAAGCCGACGAUCCAUAGCUGGUUUGAGAGGAUGAUCAGCCACACUGGGACUGAGACACGGCCCAGACUCCUACGGGAGGCAGCAGUGGGGAAUCUUAGACAAUGGGGGAAACCCUGAUCUAGCCACGCCGCGUGAGCGAUGAAGGCCUUAGGGUUGUAAAGCUCUUUCAGCUGGGAAGAUAAUGACGGUACCAGCAGAAGAAGCCCCGGCUAACUCCGUG
rnacentral:rRNA from 1 species